AUACGGGGGGGACGAGCGUUGUUCGGAUUCACUGGGCGUAAAGGGCGUGUAGGCGGACCUUUAAGUCGGGCGUGAAAUCUCGGGGCUUAACCCCGAGCCUGCGUCCGAUACUAUUGGUCUUGAGUAUGUGAGAGGAAAGUGGAAUUCCAGGUGUAGCGGUGGAAUGCGUAGAUAUCUGGAAGAACACCGGUAGCGAAGGCGGCUUUCUGGCACAAUACUGACGCUGAGGCGCGAAGGCCGGGGGAGCAAACAGAAUUAGAAACCCCGGUAGUCC
rnacentral:rRNA from 1 species